rnacentral:lncRNA from 1 species
UUGAAACUACACAAUCAAGCCAUGCUAAAGACUUUUGUUCAAGUUCGCAGUUAGUCAUCCAAACUACAAAAGGGGGAGAGACAAAACCUGUCAGUGCAUCCACGAGCCGGCUAUAAAGAUAGCUCGAACCAUCAACACCAUAGUACAAGGGUGAAGAUCCAUGUAAAAUGACUAGCUUAUAAAUAUGCAAAACCAGCACGAUGUACAAGCGAAGCGCCCAGUGCAUACAAGUUUACGCCAAAUACAAAAAAAAACAGCACAUUAAAGUACCAGCGAAGCACCGCGCAAGGACCCACUAGUCAUAUUCUGCUCACAAAAGAAAUCGCAAUCACGUCGCUCAAAAGACCGCACAACACAGGAAGUGUAUAGUCUCUUCCAUUGCUAUUGCACGUCUCAACACAGCAUCUCCAAGAUAAUGUAAAGUCUCCUAAUACCCUUAUUGCGGAAGGGAAGAAUAACCUCAGAUAGCUAUCCUGCAAUUACUAACAUUAGCUCCCUUGGAAUAGUCCACUGAAUGAAUUCUUACAGAAGGGAAGAAUAUCAAACAAAUUACUCCUGACAAGUCAUGGGGCUUGUUUGCUCCAAGGUCCCCAUCUCCCUCUCCCUCUGUUCUUUUCUGGACACGGGCUGGAGUAGCGCCCCCAUCUUUCUCUAUCUCUGAUCACUUCUGGACACACGUUGGCGUAGUGCCCCUUGCUCCUACACUUAUGGCAAGUAACUAAAGCCUUUCUCUUCAUGAUGAUUUCCUGGACAACCUUCUUCAUUCCUUUCCUCUGUUGCUGAACCACUUCUUGUGUCGUGGUGAGUAGACGACACUGGGCUGGAUUGUGGUUAGUCCCUUCACACAUGAAACAGGUGACUUGCGUAGUGGGACAUUCUUCACCCAAGUGACUCGCUUCACAAUAGGGGCAUCCAUCUUGGUGUUCCUUAUCGGUGUGUCCUAUUUCUCCACAACUUGUUAGCUAGUCGUAACAAAAUUUAAUCACAAUAAACAAUUCAGUAGACUGACCAAAAUACAGUCUCAGGUUACUACUAACAAAAAAUGAGAUACGAUGCAAAAAACAGAGCAAACAAGAUCAAAGAGAAUUCCUCAGAGACCCGCUUAAAAUCACGCACACAGCUAAACCAAACCAGCUGCAAAUGGAUAUUCCAGCCCACAACCAACAAAGGUUAUGGGUGAAGGACACUUGCAGUGGAGAGAAGCAGCUGUUGUUUACAGUGUCAUACGACACUUCCUAUGGUCUGAGAAUCUUCACCAGGAUAAUUUAAGAACGGACAAAAUUAACUAUAUAAACUAUACUAGGACCAGAAGGUAUUGGUAUUAAGCCUCAGAAAGCCGCAAAAAUAUCGUCAUUCAGAAUCUGACGGUAAUUCCAACAAAAAGCUAAUCAUCAUGUGCGUCAAUUGCAUUAUAGCUCAAAAUAAAAUCGAUGGAAACAAGACGUAUCAUCAGAAUAUAAAUGCCUUCGCAUUCACAGGUAAAUAAGCACUGUUUCAGAAGGUGUCCUAAGAUUGUUUCAAGUUUCAUCCCAUGAUACUAACGGAAUAAAGAAACAAAACAAUGGAAAAGCUGAUCUCUAAUGGAUUCAGUUGCAAAGAUGACAUCAUACGGGUGGCUCAAGCAACCCUCGGAUCAAGUGUUGGAUUAUGCAUCAAUACCUCCUCACGAUCCAAACAGAUCUUGUAAGAAGCAAACGGAAUAACAGUGAAGAAAGAUACAUAGUUGCUCAGUGGUGGCAAUGUUUAAUUGGUUCGAUUCUGCCAGCGAUGUCGUCAAUGCUUUCAGAAGAGGGGGCUUGUUAUCCUCAUCGCAACUAAGUCCUCCAAAGCAAACACACACAUCAAACACAAAAAGACACACGAAAGGGGAAAGAACAAUGGAGGGCAGACUAACAAAAUCAGGUAUCAGAUGGCUCAGUUCAGUGGGAUAAUCGGCAUACAAUCAACUCCUGAGAGAAAACCUGCGAUUUGGUCUGUUGAGCUUGAAAAUUUGCAAAUCGUUACUGCCAUCAUCCGAGGAAAAGAAAAAUCCAGAAAGAAUAUCGAACCAAAUGAGAAAGGUUCACACUAAUCAUCGAAGGCUUCACGAAAGCACGAUAUCUCAAAAAUAAAAUUCCUGUUUUAUUUUGAACAACUAACAGUACCAAAGUAAGCAUAGCACCAUACGACCACUAUGCAGUCAAAUUUUCAUCUACAAAGUGAGAUUCACAAGUGUGUCAAUCAGCACAGAUCCACCGAAGCAGAUCCUAAGACUGGGGCGACAAAUAUGAACUCAUCAUCCUCAUAACUACAACAUAGCCAAUUCAAAAUCAGCUAGCUAUGCUCCUCAAUCAUUCCAACUAUACCUGCUCUGUUUUAUCUCAAUUCGUAUCAUCUUGUACUCGACAUAAUUAUUACAGCUGGUACUACAUGAAAGUUCUAAAAGGAUUUCAAAUUGUCCAACAAUUUGCAAAUUGCUAUCUUACAAACAGGUUCUUAGUUUAUAUAUUUAAAGAAUACCCAGAAGACAUCUCACAAUGACGUCAAGCAAAAGUCAACGGAAAGGAGCUCAUUAAGGAAGUAGCGAUUGACGAUCAUAUUGAGCCAAUUUUCGCAUCAAUGCUCAAAAUCCAAGCAAAAACAAGAACUUCAAUUUAGGAUAUGGUUUCUCAUGUGCAAUUAGAAUUGAAACUACACAGGCAACCUAAAGGUCGUCAACUAGGAGCUAAUAAAGACUUUUGUUUAAGUUCACAGUUUGGUCAUCUGAAUUUAAAAAAACAAACAGAUUUUGGCCUCAUCAUUAAUUAUACUUUCCUCAUGAAGGGAAUUGAGUUGAGACAAACAAUAAAAAGAAUCCACAUGUUAACCUAGAAGACAGUAAUAAGAAAAUUCAGAAUAUGGGCGGUUAUACAGCGGGAUGGUCGGCAAGGGACAUGAAUGCCAGUUACGACGAACGAGACCAAAUAUCAAUCGUCACCGACCUCAAACCGGAUGCAAAAACAAGUAAAAUCCCUCAAAGUAGAACGCAGAGAGAGGAGAGGGGGGAGGGAACCUGUUGAGACGGGAGGUGGCGGCGUGGGGAAGAAGGUCUCCUCGCUGGUGGUUAGGGUUUCGCAGAGGCGCCCGGCCGACCCGUGCCGUUGGAUCGCCG